rnacentral:lncRNA from 1 species
CCCAUGUGUUUAAUCAGUAAGAACUUAGUUAAUAAAUAUCAGGAGAGGGAGCCUAAGAGAGCCUAGAGAGAUGGCCUUGGAGUCAAGAAAACCUGCAUCAAGUGGAAUUUCUGGCAUCUAUUGGUUGUGUGACCCCUAAGGAAACCCCUUAAUCUCAGUUUGCAGAACAGGAGCUGAUUUGAAUUAGUAGGAAGCUCCUUUCUGGGAGGUGUCUCUCUCUCUCUCUCUCUCUCUCUCUCUCUCUCUCUCUCUCUCUCUCUCUCUCUCUCUCUCUCUCUCUCUCUCUCUCUCUCUCUCUCUCUCUCUCUCUCUCUCUCUCUCUCUCUCUCUCUCUCUCUCUCUCUCUCUCUCUCUCUCUNAUAAAAAAAACCCCCCCCAAGGGGGUUUUUGGGCCUUUUUGGGGGGGGGGCCCCCAAAGAAAACCCCUUUUUUUUUUUUUUGAAAAAGGGGGGUUUUUUUUUUUUGGGGGGAGCCCUUUUUGGGGGGGGGUGUUUUUUUUUUUUUUUUUUUUUUUUUUUUUUUUUUUUUUUUUUUUUUUUUUUUUUUUUUUUUUUUUUUUUUUUUUUUUUUUUCUUUUUUUUUUUUUUUUUUUUUUUUUUUUUUUUUUUUUUUUUUUUUUUUUUUUUUUUUUUUUUUUUUUUUAAACA